CUAUGGGGUGGCUGGACUCUUGUGUACUCACCAUCUGCCAAGUUGUCUGAGUGCCAGAAGCUACUCAUGUUAAACUCCAAAAGGAAGCUGUCAAAAGAGCAAGAACAGAGGAUGCUUUUUCAGCAGCCUGGAAGGAUGCAGGUGUCAGGGAGAUGGCCCUGUCGCCCAAAUGUAGCUCUGUAUUGUGGGAUCUGUACUGUGGAAGAUCUCAAUGGGCUUUUUCCUGUGCAAGGGGCUUGUCAGUGAAGGAAGGAACAAGGAUGGCAGCCCCUGAGGCUGGGAGGGGAUUCAGCCACUAUGGGACUCACCUGAGGAGCAGGCUUGAUGGCCAUCAGAAGCCCAGACUCUGGCUGUUUGGAGCUACAAAUUGGAAAUCCAGCAUUAUCCCAGGGACAAUUCAUCUGCAGAGGAUAGUGCUGCUUCUUUUCCUCAUGGCAACCACGUCUAAUUUUCAUCUCCCCCUCUCAUAAUCAUGCCCAUGUCCUCAAACCCAAAACAGAUGUGGCAGUCACGGGAUGCAGGAUAAUGUUCCAUUACUGAUGACUUCUCUUCAGGCAAAAUAAAUCAGAAAAUAGUAAAAUGUAGAGAUGGUUGGCAAUUUGACUGAUUUUUAUGUCUAUAUAUGAAAAACUGGCUUUUCUUGAUUUCUUCCUUUUCAAGGGUUUUGCUAAGAGGGGAAGAUGAGAGAUGGAGGCUGAAUGCUCUCCUUUUUAUUUUCUUCCCAAUUCACCUCAUUUUUGGCAGCUCAUAGUUUGUGACAUUUCUUUCAGUAAUCAGGAUUGGAGGAUAUAAUCAAGCAAAUAUUUUCACUACAAUAAUCAUAUGUUAUCUAGCCAGCUCAAGUAUAGCCAUUGCAAACCAGACAUUAUUAAAUAAAGUGUUAUUGUUAAGAA